GAUGAACGCUGGCGGCGUGCUUAACACAUGCAAGUCGAACGAAGCUGCCUGGAGGAAGUUUUCGGAUGGAAUUUAGGUAGACUUAGUGGCGGACGGGUGAGUAACGCGUGGAUAACCUGCCUUAUACAGGGGGAUAACGGAGAGAAAUUUCCGCUAACACCGCAUAAGACCACAGCACCGCAUGGUGCAGGGGUAAAAUAUUUAUAGGUAUAAGAUGGAUCCGCGUCCGAUUAGCUAGUUGGUGAGGUAAAGGCCCACCAAGGCGACGAUCGGUAGCCGGCCUGAGAGGGUGAACGGCCACAUUGGGACUGAGACACGGCCCAAAACUCCUACGGGGAGGCAGCAGUGGGGGAAUAUUGUGGCAAUGGGGGAAACCCUGAUCCAGCGACGCCGCGUGAGUGAAAGAAAGUAUUUCGGUAUGUAAAAGCUCUAUCAGCAGGGGAAGAAAAAUGACGGUACUCUGACUAAGAAGCCCUCGGCUAACUACGUGCCCAGCAGCCGCGGUAAUACGUAGGGGCAAGCGUUAUCCCGGGAUUUACUGGGGUGUAAAGGGAACGCAGACGGCAAUGCAAGUCUGAAGUGAAAGGCGUGGCCUCAACCCCAUGAACUGCUUUUUAAACUGUAUAGCUUGAGUGCGGAGGGGUAAGCGGAAUUCCUUAGUCGUAGCGGUAAAAUGCGUAGA
rnacentral:rRNA from 1 species